ACUACGUUGUUCGCCGGUCAAACAUCUUUUUGAUCGUUGAGCAAGCGCCGGUCGCUUACCGAUGCCUGUCAGUUUAAACGAUUAAAUAUAUUCCUUUUUGUAAGUAUAUUCGUUGAAUAUACGUCAUCUACUUUGUAAAACUUAUUUAAGAGGUUCGAGUUACCAAGCCUCUUUGUAUCGAAACCGUGCCUCUUGCAAUAUAAGUCAUAUAUUGCCUUAUUUCUACAUAUUUAAACACUCCUGAGGGAGUGUUUAUUUUUCUUUAAUUUUAUAUAUACUUUGUAUAUUGCAUUACAAAGUAAUAUAAUAUUUUUCGGUGAACUCAACCUAGGAAUUGUGGCUGAUUUGGGGCUGUUGGAGGCUCCGCUGUUUUGUGAAGGAGAGGCUGCUUGUCCUGUGGCCUGCUGUUACUGCUGGUGCUUUUUGCUGCUUCGCACUGCUUUUAUUUAUUUGUUCACUCAUUGUGACAAUGCGUUCGGGGUUUGCACUAUCCUGCUUAUUUCUUUAUUUAAGUCUAUUACUUAAUUUUAACCGAUGCCAACUCGCCUACAACUAACUUGUAAUAUUUUAUUGCAUGAAUGUUAACUUAAUUGACCAGAUGCUGUCAAGGGCCCACCCCCUGAUUUUUUAUGUUGUAAAUUUUAUAAUCUUUAUGAUCAGUUUUAUUAAUGUAACGGUAACUUGGUGGAACGAACACCGUGACAAUAUUCUUAGUGAAAUUAAAAUACAUUAAAAAAAUAUAAUUUAAUUAUUAACGUAUUAAUAAUCGAGAUUAAUAUUUGAAAGCAUUGUCCGAUUUAUUUCCAUUUAGAUUAAAACUUUAAUAAAAUAUGGUACGUAAACGAACCUUUACGUCUUAUAAAUAUCGUUGUUUGACUGUCAUUGAUGUAAUAGCCAAAUAUAGAACAAAUAUUUAGGCGAUCGUCGAUUUACGUUUACCUAUUUACAGAAUAAAUAAAUGUACCUUGAGAUGUAAAAACAUUACUCGGAACAGAUUAUACAUUAAUUUAAAAAAUGUCCCUAAUGAAAGAUGUUGAU